UGCGCUGCCUAUUCGGGUUUGCGACAGGUAAUGCAGCUGCUUUCAAGCAGCUUAUUUGAGCGCGCUGCUUUAUGAUACAGGUGGGAGCGCAGUCACAUGGUAUUUUUCAUAUUUCGUCAGGUUUGUUUGUCGGCCGGAAAGCAUGUAACGCAAAUUAAUUAGUACGUCGCUGAAAACACACGUUAGAUGUCAUUGGGGGGUCCCUGUGGGUGCCUACAAAUGCCUCGUUAACACUUUGAUAAUAAGGACAAUACUUACUAAUUAGAUAAUUAAUUGCAAUUGUCUAAUUAAGCUUCAGGAACGAAAGAAUUACUGGGUGGAUACUCCGCUGUACUGGUAAUAAUACGCACUAGGCUUUCUUGGAGUAACGAAACUGCUCUCUUUUUACGUCUUGGUGCAUGAUAGUUGGGACAUUCUGUAUAAUUCACUCAGUAACCGAAAUGAGGCCAAGCCGGAUUCAUUCGAAAUCAGAAUCAACAGCAAUCAUGCGCAAGACUCACAGAAAAAAAGAAAAAAAAAAGGAGGCUGCAGUUUCGCUGGGAAGGCGAAGCAGUAAUAAUGAUAGCGAAGUAUACGACAAUUACACGAAAAAAGAUUACACCAACGAGAUACGCCAGACUUUUGUUUGUGGGAGAGGACUCAGGCUGUGAAAUUGAACAGUCUCCUACCAUGAGGUCUUAUAAAUUCUCAUAUAAAGCCGUAACUUUAGUGAAUAAUGAAUAUUCGAGGUCACAAAAAGUUUCAAGCGCAACAAAAAAAGAUAUUGAAUACCGCUGCACUGUUCUUGCUUAAGUUUUGCAGAAUGAUCGCAUUUUGGCGUCGAUUUCGUUUAGUAUAACACUUGCAACAGUUAAGUGCCUGGUUUUUAAGAAAAAGAAAGUGCAAAUUUGCCUGCGCUUAUGGUCAUGCGAGCUGCUGCCGCAACGGCGAUAACAUAAAAUUGUUUCGCCGCCUGCCGUCAGCCACAGAAAGCAGCGCUUCAAGGAGGGCUACCCGUGUUGCCCGCUCAUUGAGCCUGGAACCAUGUCAUGAUUUUGGAACUUGGAGCUGUAUCCCUGGAAAAGGUGACCAUGGAGGAAGGAAAAGUUUUCAUCCCUCUAUAAAGGCGACUUUUCUUUUUUUCUUUUAAUUUUUUUUUCUUAUAGUUUUCCUAUAGUUUUCUUACAUUUUCUUAUUUGUUUUCUGGGCUCGCCGCCAUUUGGCAACAUUGAUGGCAACGCACAUGGUCAGUUGGCGCCAUGGAGAAAGGAAAAGUUGGCGCUGAAGAGUUAUUUGCGCAUGACGUGCUUGCUGUCUCGUGCGGUCGCACAUUUCAAAAUAGUAUAAUGAGUACCUUUAGCUUACAGUUAACAAAUAAUACAAUUUGCCAAAGGCUGCGAGUACUGACAGUUUCUUCACUGCCAGCGUUCCCGUCUUGUGGCGUAAAAUGUUCGUGUGGUGUAGCAGUGCCUGGUUGUGGAAAGCCGCUGCUGUCGGCGGUGGUCGACCACAGCAGCGGUGCAUAGCCACUUGGGAGUCAGUCCGCGAGACGUGAUGUCGUGUAGCACCUGGGGAGGAAGGCGCCCAGUGGCAACGCCAUUUUCGUCUUUGCACACAAGGUAGUCGGCGACACAAGGAAUCCUGUUCAUGCUGCUGCGUUGAGAGGAACUGGCUGCUAUGCCGUCACCUUCUGGGCUGCCAAUCCAGACGACAAAAGUGUGCAGGAAGGUUAAAGAUGCAACACUUCCCAACGUCCCUAGCUCUGCCUGCUGAAGACUGCCUGCUUAAGCCAGCGACGCUUGUGAUUGCGGCCUGCUGUGGUGUGCUUCGGAAGCCUCUGUAAUGUACAGCACUUCUUCAAGCAGCGGUGAAUCAAGUUGUUCCAAAAUCUCCUGUGAUUCUGCAGACUCAGACGCCGUAGACAGUGUCGCU